GAUGAAGAACGUAGCGAAAUGCGAUACUUGGUGUGAAUUGCAGAAUCCCGUGAACCAUCGAGUCUUUGAACGCAAGUUGCGCCCGAAGCCAUUAGGCCGAGGGCACGCCUGCCUGGGCGUCACACGUCGUUGCCCCCCCAUCUACUCCUUCGGGAUUGCGGGGGGCGGAUGAUGGCCUCCCGUGCGCCUUGUCGCGCGGUUGGCAUAAAUACCAAGUCCUCGGCGACGCACGCCACGACAAUCGGUGGUUGCGAAACCUCGGUUGCCUGUCGUGUGCGGUCGUCGCGCAUCGAGGGCUCGAAAAAAUUGCCGGGCUUCGGCUCGACUUUCAACGCGACCCCAGGUCAGGCGGGGUUACCCGCUGAAUUUAAGCAUAUCAAUAAGCGGAGGA
rnacentral:misc_RNA from 1 species